AUGGCUAGGGUUUCGGGCAGGGCUUCGCCGGCGCGUCUCCGGCGGCCCAGGUUCGUCCCUCCUUCCUUCUUGGCUGGGAUCCACCACCCCUACACCUCACAUUCUCUUCAUGUCCUCUGCUGCAGAUGCAGAUGGAGCACGCCAUGGGAAUUCCCCAUCCACCAUGGUCGCCGCCAUCAAGGGCUUCUUCACGGAGAUGUGGAGGACGCCAUGGACCUGCAGCUCCAAGAUGACGCCUCUGCUACACCAAGAUAG
rnacentral:rRNA from 1 species